rnacentral:misc_RNA from 1 species
GAUGAAGAACGCAGCGAAAUGCGAUACUUGGUGUGAAUUGCAGAAUCCCGUGAACCAUCGAGUCUUUGAACGCAAGUUGCGCCUCAAGCCAUUAGGUUGAGGGCACGUCUGCCUGGGCGUCACAUAUCGUUGCCUGAUGCCAGUUUCCUCGUGAUGGGUGACUGUGCAGGGCGAAUGAUGGCUUCCCGUGAGCAUUGUUGCCUCAUGGUUGGUGAAAAUUGAGUCCUUGGUAGGGAGCGCCGUGAUAGAUGGUGGUUGAGUGACGAACGAGACCCAAUCAUGUGAGACCCCUACCGAAUUUGGCCUUCAUGACCCACAUGCGUCUUUGGAACGCUCAUGACGAGACCUCAGGUCAGGCGGGGCUACCCGCUGAGUUUAAGCAUAUCAAUAAGCGGAGGA